UGGGGAUGUGGGGAAUCCCUAACAGCACAUUUCUGGCUGCCCAGGCCUGCAUGGAUACUAUGGCAGUACAUAAGGAACACUAAUGUUUCAGGCGAAGUCCACUUCUGGCUUCUUCUGUUCCCUACUCUGGCUCAGGAACAUUCUCCUCCUGCCUGGAACUCCUACGUGAGUACAAACAGGGCACAUGAACAUAAACACUGAAGAACAUGAAGAACAUGGAGAACGUGAACAUUUUGCCCCAAAGAGACCUGUCACUGUCUCACAGCUUCAUGCAGCUACAAAUCGUGUGGGAAUGAAUAGCUCUGCAAACAUCAAGAACUGUAAGAUGAUGACAAUAUAUAUGUAGUGGAAAUGCCAAGAUUGGAAUAAUGCUUAGUUUACCAUGAUGCAACAGGAUGAUCCUACUGGUUAGUCAAGUGAAAUUUGUCACAGAUAAAAUAAACAGAAGAGCUGGUAGAGGAUUCAUUUAAUAAAGAAUUAAACUUGAAGGGUGUGAUUAACGUCAAUUAAGAUCAUAUUUUUUACAAAAAACCCUAAUUUUUUAAAGAGACAAAAAUCAGGACAAUAAACGUGUAGAUACAAUGUACUGAAGACUUAUAAGUGAUAAGAUAAUAUCACACCUAAAAGUUCUGCACAUUUAAUGAAAAAAAAUAGGUAACUUACAGAUCUUGGAAAGAAAUUGUUAAUAAAAACAAGACUCAAAGUGAAAUAUUUCUAACAGAAUUUGUCAGAGAUUUUAAGUCUCUGCUAGAAAAUAAUUUUGUCAUAACACAGGAAAAAAUAUGGCACUAAAAUUGUUUUAAUUUGCCUUGG